rnacentral:lncRNA from 1 species
AAAACAAGCUUGGCACUAAUUAGCUCUUUAAAUCACUGCCAGGUGGGCAUACAAAAUGAACAAACGUUUAUCUUCAAUGUAGUCAUUUCCAAAUUAUGGUGAGAUGUUUUCUGAGAAUAGAAGACAUCUUGAGUAUGUUGUACUUUGACUCUACCUGCUCUGUAACUAAGCAGAGAACUUGUAGUUCUGGUAUUGCUCCUGUAUUUUGCAGUGUGUUUCUUUUCAGUUUCAACCAGAAUAAAUGAUCUCAUGUAAUAACAAACCUGACAGAUCUUCAUAAUUGAUCGCUAUUCUUCACAGAUGAAGGGCAUAGGAAGCAAAUAGAAUAAAGCAGUGAUCCACGUUCUCCCUCCUUUUACGCAUAUGUGUCCUGACCUCCUGUGUUAGCUGUGAAAUACUUAAAUGUUGCUGGGCACUGAACAUCACUGUAGAAUCAACUCAUCCUUGAAAUGCCACACAACUCUACCAGCAACUGCUGUGCUAUUAUGAAAAGAAAGAUAUGCAAGUUAUUUCUCAAGUUUGUAAAAUGCCUAUUUUGUUAUCAGCUUAAAUAUAUUACUGGUUGUUUUCAUUAUUAUUUUUCACUGAGAAAACUUUAUGCAGUAGACUUCAAUGAAAACCAUUUGGGUAAGAAUUAUAGGAUUAAGAAAUGUAGGAUUAGAAUCUCUUUUCAUAGAGAAAUGGCUUUUCAUCUGUAAGCAGUUAUUUUCUUGCACUACAAUGGGAAGUUCCCCAAAACUCUAUGCCUGAAUUUCUGAAAGGAAUAAUCCCAUCAUGAUGAUUCCCAUAUGUUUUGUAAAGAGAAAAAAUAGCUGUCUAUACUCAAUUUGCUUGAAAAAUAUGCAUUCAAAAUAUUUGUUGUAUAUUUAUAGUGGACACAGAUACAGCAUAUCUUAAUGUCUUGUAAAUAAGUGCUUUUUUGGUUUGAUGGCCAUUUUCAUGUUUUAAGCCUUUUUGAGAUACCAUUCUGUUGAAAUCUUAGCUGACAUGUUUUGUUUCCUGCCUUUUUAUGACAUUUCAGUGGUUUGGGGCCUGAAUUCUAAUACCUCUCUAAAUCUGAUUUAUUUUGUUGUUUUAUUUUUGAAGUUGCACGGUCACCUCAAGGCUGCUAGGAUGUUCAGAAUGAAAAGAAGCAAGGAAUGUUCAGUCUGUUUUACAAACCUGGCAGCACCAUGACGUGAACUGUUCUCUGUGUGCUCUCAUGGGAGACUCCUGGUCUGAGGAGACUCCAAUCUUUGUAAAAAUACCACAGCCAGCUCCUUUGCCAUGUUCCCGUAGAGAUUCUGGGCACAUAGGGAAAUUGUGCUUACUGUCCUCAGAAUUCCUUCCUUACCAUCUGCCUAUGGGAGAUGUCAUACUGAAAGCCGCCCAUUAUAGACUAGACUAAUUGCUCUGAAUUCCCUGACUACUUAGAUGCCAUAAUGAUGUUACUGAUUUUACCAGCAUAGUCAGUCCCAUGUGUAGAAAAUGUUUUCAUGUUAUACUCCCAUCAAGCUAUGCAAUAGCUAACUUCAUCACCAUUUUCCUUGGCACCUUUAUGUGUGGGUGCAGAGAGAACUGCAGUAUCUAGGAUAUACUUGUGAGAUCCCUAAGGGUAGUACUAAUUCCUUAAUGGCUACCACAAUUCAUUCCAGUGAAAUACUGCUUGCAUUUUGUGAUUCUGUUUUCAGGCAAAAGAACAUUUCUAGUCUGACAAAUAGACUAGAUUCCUUAAAGUGUUUAUGAAAGAGGAAGAGAGCUGUUACUGUGGGUUUGGAAAGACAGCCUACAUGACACUGUAUUUUGGCAGUAAUACAUGAAUAGGAGAGAGAUGAAGCUGUGAAAUUGAAUCAUGAUAUCUCAACAGAUGGUCAUAAGAAUCAUAAACAUGAAGUGAGUGCAUUGUAUGUUUUACAUGACUCUGAAAAGAUUUACAUUCAUGUUUUACCUUAAAAGGAAAUAGCUUUGCUAAUCUAGAUCUGUACUACAUUAAUUUUCAAAGAUACAGUAUCUCCAUUGCACUCUAAGGUAGAUUAUUAGUUAUUCUGAGCCAGGAGGCAUGUAAAGAAUGAUGAAAGAGAAUAGGCUUCUACUGAAUUUAUCAGAAUAAGUUGAUGAAUUGUAUGUGAAAAGGGAGGUUGGAAAUAUAAGUAUGUUCUACAUCCUUGCCAUGACAGACUAUGGAAUAUUUAUAAUAAAUGGAGACAUAAAGCAGGAAUAAUCUUCCCC